rnacentral:ncRNA from 1 species
UUAUUUAAUAAGUUUGAUUCUUGCUUAUUUAUUAAUUUAUUAAAUGAUUUAUAUGUUGUUUUAUUAAUAUUUUGUUUUAACAGUAAAUUUAAUUGUUUAUUAUUAAUUAUUUUUAAUUAUCAGUAAUUUAAUUAUAAUGGAUAAAUUUUGUGCCAGCAUUCGCGGUUAUACAAUUCAUUAAAAUUAAUAUUAUAUUUCUAGUAAUUAUUUAUUUAUUGAUUAAAAGUUAAUUUUAUUUAGGUGGAAUUUAUAUUGUUCAUUUUAUUCUUUAUAAGAGUUUAUUAAAUCAAGAUUUUAAACUAGGAUUAGAUACCCUAUUAUUUUUGUACUUAAAGUUGUUUAGUGAAUAUUAAUAGUUAUGCUCUAUUAAACUCAAAGAAUUUGGCGGUGAAUUAUAUCUUUUUAGAGGAAUCUGUAAUUUAAUUGAUAAACCACGAUAAUUUUUACCUUUAUGUUAUUUGUAUAUCUCUAUAAGUAAGAGUGUUAUUUAAAUAUAUUCUCUUUUAUUAUAUUAUUUUACAUUAGGUCAAGGUGCAGUUUUAUAAAGGUAAUUAUGGGUUACUUUAAUUUUAAAUGUUGUAGAUUUUAAUCUUAAUUUUGAUUAUAUUGAAAUAGGAUUUAAUAGUAAUUUUUUGUAUUAAUUUGUCAUUUUGAAUUUAGUUUUAAUUUAUGUACAUAUCGCCCGUCACUCUCUUUAAAAUGGGAUAAGUCGUAACAAAGUAGGUGUACCGGAAGGUGUAGCUAGAAAGUUCAG